GGGCUUCGCAACGGCUGUGGGGCCCAGAGCAGCGUCGACGGCAGCCUGCGUUUCCGCACGGGCCAGCAGCCGUGGCCAGCUGCUCGUCCCUAGGGCUUUUCAGCUCCGGGGCAGCAUCUCUGCCGGGCGGACAGACCUGGAGGUGGAGAGCAAGAGAGAGAAGAGACGGAAUACAGAGGAGACAGCGGCUCAGCUGAGCGGACACCGCCUCCCGUCAGGAAGAAGGCUGCGAAUUCCCCGCCGCCGCCUCUGCCACCAACACCAGCGCCGCCACCGCUGCCGCCGACCUCACCGCCGCCACUGCCGCCGCCGCCUCCACCACCAGCGAGCCUGGGCCGGGCAGGGCGCCGAGCGGGCCGUCUGAGGCGCAGGCCGGAGCGGGCCCGGCACCGCAGCGCUGGUGGAGGCCGGGUCUCCGAGGCGACGGCCGAGGCAGGUACAACGGUACCGGAGGAGGCGGCGCCGCCGCUCGUCCCUUGUCCUCAGGAGGGGGCCCAUGGCGAGCGACAAGCCGGUCCGGCCCGGGGCUCGAGCCUCAGCCCGUGGAGCCCAUCGCCGUCCGGGCCGGCAGCGGAGGCGGUGGCGAAGGCGGCGGCGGCAGCGGGAUGGUGAGGCUGAUGGGGCGUCCGGCUCCGACUCCGGCUCCGGUUCCGCUCCCCGCGGGGACGAGUUACCUUUCAGUGCCGAUCAGCACCAUCCAGAUGAAAUUCGCAGUUUGGACUCCUGCAGGUCGGACAGGUCAGCAGCAGGGACAUCGUGGAGAUGGUGCUCAACCUGGCAAUUUCAUUGCCUCCUUUUGCAAAUUGUCCUUAUCACAUUGGCUUCACCCUGAACACUUGGCUUCGUGUGGAUCCAUUAAUAACAUUAAUGUUGAAAAGGAUAAAGCCUCAUUUUUAUUGUUUUGUAUGCAAAGAAGUUGGCUAUUUUGCUGGCUCAGUAGAUACAUCAGGAAACUCCAAAGGAAAAGAUUUUCAGCACUGUGUGAAAUAUGAUCUGCAACCAUGCAAGCUGGUUGGUGGAGCAUUUGAUUUGGAGACAAACUUUAUUAUCCAGGAUGCUGAGAGUAUAACAUGCAUAACAGAGUUUUUUGGGGCACUGUGGUGUAACAUGCCAAGCAGAAAUAUGGAGCAAGUUUGCAGCCAUUGUAUGAAUAAGUGCUUGGAAUUUACAGACUAG
rnacentral:lncRNA from 1 species